rnacentral:lncRNA from 1 species
GUUCUUACAUGUCAUGUCCCCUGUUCUUAAAUGGUCAUUCCCCUGUUCUUAACAGGCCAGGUCACCGGUUCUGAAUGUCAUGUCCCCUGUUUCUUACUGUCAUGUCCCCUGGUUCUUACAUGGGCAUGUCCCCUGUUCUUUUACAUUCAUGUCCCCUGUUCUACAUGUCAUGUCCCCUGUUCUUACAUGUCAGGUCCCCUGUUCUUACAUGUCCAUGUCCCCAGUUUCUUACAUUCAUGUCCCCUGUGUUCUUACAGGUCAUGUCCGCUUCUGUCUUACAUGUCAUGUCCCCGUUCUUCAUGUCAUGUCCCCUGUUCUUCAUGUCAUGUCCACACAUGCUUCCCCUUUUUUACAUGUCAUGUCCCCUGUUCUUACAUGUCAUGUCCCCUGUUCUUCUUACAUGUCAUGUCCCCUGUUCUUACAUGUCAUGUCCCCUGUUCUUACAUGUCAUGUCCUCCCCUGUUCUACAUGUCAUGUCCCCUGUCUUACAUGUCAUGUCCCCUGUUCUACAUGCAGUCCCCUGUUCUUACAUGUUCAUGGUCCCCUGUUCUUACAGUCAUGUCCCCUGUUCCUUUACAUGUCAUGUCCCCUGUUCUUACAAUGCUUUUUUUUUCAGUUGAACGCUUUUUUUCUUUCUUAGGCGUAUUUGUAAGGAUGAGGUAUGGUACUUUUUUUUCUUUCUUAGUCUUAGGCGUAUUUGUAAGGAUGAGGUUAUUGUACUUUUUUUUCUUUCUUAGGCGUAUUUGUAAGGAUGAGGUAUUGUACUUUUUUUCUUUCUUAGGCGUAUUUGUAAGGAUGAGGUAUUGUACUUUUUUUUCUUUCUUAGGCGUAUUUGUAAGGAUGAGGUAUUGUACUUUUUUCUUUCUUAGGCGUAUUUGUAAGGAUGAGGUAUUGUACUUUUUUCUUUCUUAGGCGUAUUUGUAAGGAUGAGGUAUUGUAUUUUUUUUCUUCUUAGGCGUAUUUGUAAGGAUGAGGUAUUGUACUUUUUUCUUUCUUAGGCGUAUUUGUAAGGAUGAGGUAUUGUACUUUUUUUUCUUUCUUAGGCGUAUUGUAAGGAUGAGGUAUUGUACUUUUUUUCUUUCUUAGGCGUAUUUGUAAGGAUGAGGUAUUGUACUUUUUUCUUUCUUAGGCGUAUUUGUAAGGAUGAGGUAUUGUACUUUUUUUCUUUUUUUUUACAAAUAAAGGUCUGCCUUGUUGAGAAGAUGCUUGUGUCUUGUUCAAAGUGCGCCA